rnacentral:ncRNA from 1 species
GACUGGAUCUUGGACAGUGGUAUUGGCGGGGUUAUUUUCUUCUUGGGUAAUAUCAUGGGAAUGGUCUGCGCCCAUGUGAUAUGGUGUGCUUAGAUGGGCAGGUGGGUAGUCAAGUCUGUGAAAGAGCAAUGCAGUGUAGUGGAAGACGGGCCGGUUUUGAUUGAAGACAUUUUCAGGUGGGGAGUUUGGCAGGGCGGGCACGUCUGUUAAACCAUCAUGCAAGUGUCCCGAAGGGAAUUCAUAGAGAACAAAAACCUCCAAUGGAAUAAAAAGGUAAACGUCCCCUUGAUUUAGAUUUUCAGUAUGAAUGCAAACCAUGGUAGUGUAACCUAUCGAUACUUUAGUCCCUCAAAAUCUGAGGGUUGAGGUGCCAGAA